GACGAACGCUGGCGGCGUGGAUUAGGCAUGCAAGUCGAACGGUAGUUAUCCUUUCGGGGAUAAUGAGAGUGGCGAACGGGUGAGUAACGCGUAGGUAAUCUGCCUUCAGGUGGGGGACAACCCGGGGAAACCCGGGCUAAUACCGCAUGUGACAGUAAUGUCAAAGCCGGCCUCUGCAAAUGCUGGUGCCUGGAGAUGAGCCUGCGUCUGAUUAGCUAGACGGUGGGGUAACGGCCCACCGUGGCGAUGAUAAGUAGGCGGCUUUAACGAGUGGUCGCCCACACUGGGAUUGAGAUACGGCCCAGACUCCUACGGGUGGCUG
rnacentral:rRNA from 1 species